CCUCUCAUCUAGUCUCCUAAGUUCCAUACUAGUCCUACCUGUGCAAAUGGCUCCCAAGAUGAAGCUUUCACAGAGGAGAAAAUCCGUUCGCGGGUUGGAAGAGAGUGUGCGCAGAAAGAGAUUAGCAGCCGAACCCUCUCCUGCUCCAAUCCCUGCUCCAGGUCCUGCUUCAACUUCAACUCAGUCUCCAAUCAGCCCAAGCAAGGUACCCCUCUCUGAUAGAAAAGUGGAAUC
rnacentral:lncRNA from 1 species